rnacentral:rRNA from 1 species
CCAGGAAUAUUGGGCAAUGGACGAAAGUCUGACCCAGCGACACCGCGUGGAGGAUGAAGGCUUUAGGGUCGUAAACUCCUUUUAUCCCGACCUUCACGUCGGGGAGAAUAAGCACCUACUAACUACGUGCCAGAAGUCUCGGUAAUAUGUAGGGUGCAAGCGUUAUCCGGAUUUACUGGGCGUAAAGAGUGUGUAGGCGGUCUACCAAGUCUUAGCUUAAAUCCCGGGGCUCAACCCCGGUUCUGGUUAAGAUACUGGAGGACUGGAGGAUUAUUCGGGGUACUGGAACAGUUGGUGUAGUGGUGAAAUACGUUGAUAUCAACUGGAACACCGAAGGCGAAGGCAAGUACCUGGGAUGUUCCUGACGCUGAGACACGAAAGCUAGGGUAGCGAAACAGAUUAGAGACCUGUGUAGUCCUAGCCGUAAGCGAUGGAUGCUAGCUAGUGUGCAAGCACUGGCGUAAGCUAACGCGUUAAGCAUCCCGCCUGGGGAGUACGACCGCAAGGUUAAAACUCAAAGGAAUUGACGG